rnacentral:rRNA from 1 species
UACGAGGGGGCGAGGCGUUGUUCGGAAUUAUUGGGCGUAAAGCGCACGUAGGCGGAUUGUUAAGUCAGGGGUGAAAUCCUGGAGCUCAACUCCAGAACUGCCUUUGAUACUGGCGAUCUUGAGUCCGGGAGAGGUGAGUGGAACUGCGAGUGUAGAGGUGAAAUUCGUAGAUAUUCGCAAGAACACCAGUGGCGAAGGCGGCUCACUGGCCCGGUACUGACGCUGAGGUGCGAAAGCGUGGGGAGCAAACAGG